GGUUGAUGCAGAAGAUCCACUUUUUCUCUUGUACACCAGUGGUAGCACUGGGAAACCAAAGGGUGUUUUGCACACAAGCGGGGGUUAUAUGGUUUACACUGCAACCACAUUUAAAUAUGCCUUUGACUACAAACCAUCGGAUAUAUAUUGGUGUACUGCAGACUGUGGUUGGAUUACUGGACACAGCUAUGUUACAUAUGGUCCUCUUCUAAAUGGAGCUAGUGUCGUG
rnacentral:misc_RNA from 1 species